AUGAGGCUCCCUGCUCAGCUCCUGGGGCUGUUAAUGCUCUGGGUCCCUGGAUCCAGUGGGAACAUUGUGAUGACCCAGACUCCACUCUCCCUUCCUGUCACCCUUGGAGAGCCGGCCUCCAUCUCCUGCAGGUCUAGUCAGAGCCUCAAGGAUAGUGAUCAUGGAUUCAUCUAUUUGUAUUGGUACCUGCAGAAGCCAGGCCAGUCUCCACAGCUCCUGAUCUAUUUUGUUUCCUACCGGGCCUCUGGAGUCCCAGACAGGUUCAGUGGCAGUGGGUCAGGCACUGAUUUCACACUGGAAAUCAGCAGGGUGGAGGCUGAGGAUGUUGGGGUUUAUUACUGCAUGCAAAGAUUGCAGCUCCUCACCAGCAAUGGAUCAAAGCUGGACGGAGAAUGA